rnacentral:rRNA from 1 species
GUGGGGAAUCUUAGACAAUGGGCGCAAGCCUGAUCUAGCCAUGCCGCGUGAGCGAUGAAGGCCUUAGGGUUGUAAAGCUCUUUCGCUGGGGAAGAUAAUGACUGUACCCAGUAAAGAAGCCCCGGCUAACUCCGUGCCAGCAGCCGCGGUAAUACGGAGGGGGCUAGCGUUAUUCGGAAUUACUGGGCGUAAAGCGCACGUAGGCGGACCAGAAAGUUGGGGGUGAAAUCCCGGGGCUCAACCUCGGAACUGCCUUCAAAACUCCUGGUCUUGAGUUCGAGAGAGGUGAGUGGAAUUCCGAGUGUAGAGGUGAAAUUCGUAGAUAUUCGGAGGAACACCAGUGGCGAAGGCGGCUCACUGGCUCGAUACUGACGCUGAGGUGCGAAAGCGUGGGGAGCAAACAGGAUUAGAUACCCGUGUAGUCC